rnacentral:lncRNA from 1 species
CAUGUCAACAUGUUAUCAAUAUAAAAAAAAUUAUGGAAGAUACACUUUAGAUUUUUUUCAUGAUAAGUCUUCAAAAUCUUGGGUUUUUUUACAGCUACAGCACAACCCAGUUUGAAGCCGCCACAUCUCAACUUCAGUAGCAAUGUGUGUCUCGUGGCAGUCAUCAUAGACAGCUCAGCUGUAAGCAGUAAACUCCCUGAGGGCUCAGAACCACAACAGCCUUACUGCUCUAUCCACAGCACCAGACUGUGCUUAACUCAAAGUAAGCCAAGUAUUUGAUAUUUUUUAAAAAAAUACAAUUUUAAGGAAUAAUUGUACGGAAGAAGAAAGGGAAGCCCAGAGAGAGGAAGGGAUUGACUCCACGGUCAUAGCACUAAUUAAUGGGAAACCACUACCAGCCCUCAUCUGGAGCUAUACACCCCAGCACCUCCUGGAAACUGGCGGCAUCACUCAGGCCAGUCUUCCCCACUGGAACUAUGAGAUUGAAAUGGGCCAGGAAUGACAGUUUACAUUUUCUAAAAGAAGAAAAGCAAAUUUGUAAGAGGAGAUGUGACUUGUCCAAGUUCCAGACUUCACAUCCGCCGGAGUCUUCCACACCAGCACCUCCUAAGGAUCAACCCAUUUGAGCUACGUAAGUAAUUUAUGUGCCUGUUUAUCUUCAGGUGCUCUCUCUUGUUGGCAAGUGAGGUAUUCUUGUAGAAAUCUUAUGUGUGCACACAUGCAAAGGGGCAUAAAUACAUAUGAAGGCUGAUAUUUCUGAUCAUUCAAGCAUCCGUUAUCCUCUGACUCAAAUGUGUAUUAAUUCUUUGCUCGUGGUGGCUGCCCUGGUGGCUCAGAUGGUAAAGAACCCGUCUACAAUGCAGGAGAUCCAGGUUUGAUCCCUAGGUGAGGAACAUCCCCUAGAGAAGGGACUGGCUACCCAAUCCAGUAUUCUUUCCUGGAGAAUUCCAUGGACAGAGGAGCCUGGCAAGCUACAGUCCACGGGG